AUGAACGCUGGCGGCGUGCCUAAUACAUGCAAGUCGAGCGAACGGACGAGAAGCUUGCUUCUCUGAUGUUAGCGGCGGACGGGUGAGUAACACGUGGAUAACCUACCUAUAAGACUGGGAUAACUUCGGGAAACCGGAGCUAAUACCGGAUAAUAUUUUGAACCGCAUGGUUCAAAAGUGAAAGACGGUCUUGCUGUCACUUAUAGAUGGAUCCGCGCUGCAUUAGCUAGUUGGUAAGGUAACGGCUUACCAAGGCAACGAUGCAUAGCCGACCUGAGAGGGUGAUCGGCCACACUGGAACUGAGACACGGUCCAGACUCCUACGGGAGGCAGCAGUAGGUAAUCUUCCGCAAUGGGCGAAAGCCUGACGGAGCAACGCCGCGUGAGUGAUGAAGGUCUUCGGAUCGUAAAACUCUGUUAUUAGGGAAGAACAUAUGUGUAAGUAACUGUGCACAUCUUGACGGUACCUAAUCAGAAAGCCACGGCUAACUACGUG
rnacentral:rRNA from 1 species